rnacentral:rRNA from 1 species
UGAGGAAUAUUGCCCAAUGGACGCAAGUCUGAGGCAGCAACGCCGCGUGCGCGAUGAAGGCCUUCGGGUUGUAAAGCGCUUUUCUGGGGGAAGAGGAAGGACGGUACCUCAGGAAUAAGUCACGGCUAACUACGUGCCAGCAGCCGCGGUAAUACGUAGGUGGCCAGCGUUAUCCGGAUUUACUGGGCGUAAAGCGCGUGCAGGCGGUUUCGUAAGUCGGACGUGAAAGCUCCUGGCUUAACUGGGAGAGCGCAUUCGAUACUGCGAGGCUUGAGGUCGGGAGAGGGACGUGGAAUUCCCGGUGUAGUGGUGGAAUGCGUAGAUAUCGGGAGGAACACCAGUGGCGAAGGCGGCGUCCUGGCCCGCACCUGACGCUGAGACGCGAAAGCGCGGGUAGCGAACGG